rnacentral:lncRNA from 1 species
GUCAGACGUCGCGGCGCUUCCCGCGGCGGAGCGGGCACGGCAGGCACCGGGGCUCCCGGGGAGGCAGGCACCUUCACCUCCUCUGCCCUCAACUGUCGCCUUCUUCCUCCUCCGCUCCUCUUACCGGUGGUACAAGCUCCUCCGUCACUGCUUUCGUUCGCGGCCCGGAUCUCGCUGGAGUUUUAUUCUCUCCCCCACGUAACACACCGCGUCAAACUACACCUCCGCCGCGUCACUCACCAACACUCCGCUUCUCCCAGCCGCCCGGGCCACAGGCAGCAGCAGCCGCCGCCGACUGAGGAGCCGCAGCCAGGGAGCCAGCCAGCGCCGCCCAGUGCCGAGUGCGCAGCGGCCGCGCACGGAAACAGCCGAGCCCGGCCCGGAGGAGCUCGAGCGGCCCCGCCCCCCCGCGCCGCAGGCGGAACUUGCCGAAGGCCUUCGGGCGCCUCCGGCCGAGCGGGGUGGCGGCCGGGGUUCGCGAGCGGAGCGGCGCGGGAGGCGUGGCCCGAGCCCCACCUCGCGGGCCGCGCGGCUGCAGCCCCGCGGCGGAAAUCGGCGGCAGGAAGGCGGCUUCGCGAGUGUGGCCCGCUGGGGGAAUUCCCCGGGGGUGUCGGCGGCUGGGUGGAAACCCCCCGCGGCUGCCUGCCCCCCCCCGCCCCCGUCCCCUGCGGCGGGCCCGGCCUGAGCCCCGGGAACUUUGGAAGGCUGCGGGGCCGCGGCCGAGCGAGCCGGGAGGAGGGGCGGCGGGGGCUCUGCAAUCGUCCCGGAGCCUGCGGGCUCGGGGCGGCGGGGGCUCUGCAAUCGUCCCGGAGCCUGCGGGCUCGGGCGGCGGGGGCUCUGCAAACGUCCCGGAGCCUGCGGCCUGCGGGCCGGGGCUCGGGGCCCCGCGCUGCCCGCGCCGAGGGGCGCCCGGGAGGGGAGGGUUUGCGCGGCCCCGCGGCCCCUCCUCUCCGAGAGUCAGCGCGGGGAGACCUGGGGGCCGCCCGCCCGGCUCCUCCACCUCGGGGCGUGCGGGGGCGGGGGCCCCGGGGCGCCUUGCGGGGUGCAGCCCGGCGGCCCAGCGGCCGGGGCGGUGGAGGACCCGGUCCGCCCUCGGGGGCCUCCGAGCGAGGACCGGUCCUGACCGAGGUUGCUCUGGGACCCUCCGAAGUAUGA